UUAUUAACGUAGUUUGAAUUAUAUUUUAAUUAUUAAUUAAUUUUAUGUACAUUAUAUGAUUACACGCAUUUUAUUGAGUGUUUUAAUUCCGUUCAUCUAUCUUAUUACUAAUUCAUUUUUUUUAACUACGCAGCAGAUCUGUUACUAAAUACUAUAUUUUCUUGAUAAACUCUGUUUCGGGAAAAAAAAAAAAUUAAAAUGUAAAUUACCGAUACCCAAUAACAGUAUAUAAAGCCCGAAAAUUCUAUUAUGUGUAUCAUUCGAUUUCAGUCAUCGUUUGAAGCUUUUUAGCUGAAUUCUUUAUACGUUCUCAGCACAAACCAACAAAAAUGUCUUCCAAAUUGUUCGUACUUUUCGCUGUGUUUGCCUUGGCUGCCGUCACCUUCGCCGCCGAAGAACAAACUUCAACCAAUGAACGUGUAAAGAAGGCCGUUUUACCCGCUGCUUAUCCAUACGCAUACGGUUACAAUUACGGAUACGUCACCCCAUAUAGCUACGGAUACGCUACCCCAUACAGCUACGCUUCAUACAACUCUUAUCCAUAUGGACACAGCAGAUCAGUGUACAGCGGAUACUACCCAUACAACUAUUACAAUGGAUAUUACCCAUAUGUCUACUAAUUUUUCCAUUCAAAGAUUCUUUAUCAGUCCAUCAAAUCAAGUGUUCGGUCUUAUGAAAUAAUAUGAAACAGUGUAAUUCAUAAUUGUUUUUUUUUGUAAACUUUUUUUUUUAUUGUUUCUAAAAAAAUAAAUUUUUUUAAAGCAUUGCAAA